rnacentral:misc_RNA from 1 species
AUUCAAACAUUUCUCGGAGGGGAGAUAAAGAACAAAAUGACCAUGUUUACUCAGCUUGCUCUGAUUUGCGUUUUCUCACUGACAUGUGCCAAAGAAAUUUGCAUCAAAGAGGCCGACAUCGCCUUCAUUAUUGAUUCGUCGAGCAGCAUUUGGAAACCAAACUUUCAAGUUCAGAUUGAUUUUCUGUACAAUAUUUUGAACCUGUUUGACAUUUCACCCUCCAAAACGCAGGUCGCUGCAGUGUCUUACAGUAAUAUCAUAAAUCCCGAAUUUCAAUUCAAAACAUUCAGCAGUAAAAACAGAGUUCUGACUGCCAUAAAAAGGAUCAGGUACACACAGGGUGACGCCACAAGAACGUACAAAGCACUCAAGUACAUGAACGAAAACAUAUUUACUAAAGCAAAUGGCGCCCGAGAUGGUGUCGUCAAGAUUGCAAUAGUAAUGACGGACGGAGAAACAAAUCCCGGAUUAUAUGACGGCGAACUGACAUCGGAAGAGGCCAAAGAAUGGACCCAGGUGGAGGCAAAUAGAGCCAAAAGCAACGGGGUGUACUUGUUUGCUGUUGGUGUUGGCGAUCGUAUAAAUGAAAAGGUGAGGUCACCGCCAUCAUCAGGUAGAAGGUCAGGUGACGACCAUAAUCAGGUAAAAGGUGAGAUGAUGGCCAUCAUCAAGAAAAUUAUCAGGUGACGGCCAUCAUCAGGUAAAGGGUCAAGUGACGGUCAUCAUUAUGUAAAAAGUGACGUAACGGCCAUUGAUCGUCAGGUAUAGAUGGAAAUGGACCCGAGACUAUCAAAUCAGACGUGUUAGUGCUAGAACGUUAUAAAAAAUACAUUUAUUUUGUCUUUUAUUUUUAGGGAAUGGCUUUGAUUUUAUAUGGAAUGGGCUGUUUUAUUAAAGAAAUUAAAAUUGAUCUAUAAUUUUUAAGAAAUUUGAUUAAUAACCAUGUAUUAACAUUAUGUAUUUUGUCAUACAGUUUUGGGGGAAAAAACUUAACGAAUCUUCAGUGUGGUACUGUUCAUUUCUAAUUAACGAGAUUUAACGUUAAAUGUCAAAUAAAAGUACUGAUUGAAGCAAAAUUAGCUUUGAAAUGGCGACAAAAACGAUUUAUCAGAAUCAUGUAAACAUUUGACUGCUUUUAGGAACUAAAUGGUAUCGCAAGUGAACCCAAGUCAGAGUACAUGAUCAAGGUUACAGAAUACAAAGAAUUUCAAACGGAUAAACUCAAGGAUCUUCUCACAAACAGGACAUGUGCAGCUGGCCGAACAACAACCCCGAAACCACAAGAAAAGGGUAAAAUGUUGGGAACUGGUCGCUGAUGUAAUAUUCGCCAUUGACCAAUCAACUAGUAUCAAUACGCAGAAAAACUUCAAUCUGGAGCUAGAUUUUGUUGGUAAGGUGUUAAAAACGUUUGACGUGGGUGUGGAGGAGACCCGCGUAGGAGCUGUAGUGUUCAGUGACGAGGCUGAACGUGUCCUUGACCUUAAAGAGGGAGUGUCGAAAGAUGCCGCACUGGAACGCGUCAAAAAUAUCACGUGGGGUAAAGGGAACACUUUUAUGGACAAGGCAUUUGCUAAGAUGAGAGAAGGAUUUUCCAAAGAAAAUGGUGGUCGCCCUGGUCAGGUUCCUCAAAUUGCAGUGCUUCUUACGGACGGGGUCGCUACAGACCCGUAUAAAGCUGUGGAAGAAGCGAAAAAACUUAAGAGCCUGGGUGUAGAAGUGUUUACUAUAGGUAUUUCAUUUAAUUCAAUUCCAGGUGUGAAGGACGCCAAGAUGUCGGAAUUGAACGCGUUGUCCAGUGAUCCGCAGUCUCAGCAUGUGUUCGAUGUGGACAGUUUGGAGGGACUGUCUUCUAUUGUUAGUCGCCUGUCUAAGAGUGUGUGUAGUAGUGGAACACGCUAAGAAAAUACUGUACAUACUAUAUAGAAUGAUUCUUUGUAUAUUUACACAAUAAAGAGGCAAAUAAACACU